rnacentral:rRNA from 1 species
GCUGGAAUUGCUAGUAAUGGCAGGUCAGCAUACUGCCGUGAAUACGUUCCCGGGCCUUGUACACACCGCCCGUCACACCAUGAGAGUUGGAAAUACCCGAAGCCUGUGAGCUAACUUAAAGAGGCAGCAGCCGAAGGUAGAGCCAAUGAUUGGGGUGAAGUCGUAACAAGGUAGC